GAUGAACGCUGGCGGCGUGCUUAACACAUGCAAGUCGAACGGAAAGGCCCAAGCUUGCUUGGGUACUCGAGUGGCGAACGGGUGAGUAACACGUGGGUGAUCUGCCCUGCACUUCGGGAUAAGCCUGGGAAACUGGGUCUAAUACCGGAUAGGACCACAUUUUGGAUGGUGUGGUGGAAAGUUUUUCGGUGUGGGAUGAGCUCGCGGCCUAUCAGCUUGUUGGUGGGGUAAUGGCCUACCAAGGCGUCGACGGGUAGCCGGCCUGAGAGGGUGUACGGCCACAUUGGGACUGAGAUACGGCCCAGACUCGUACGGGGGGCAGCAGUGGGGAAGAUUGCACAAUGGGCGCAAGCCUGAUGCAGCGACGCCGCGUGGGGGAUGACGGCCUUCGGGUUGUAAACUCCUUUCGCUAGGGACGAAGCGUUUUUGUGACGGUACCUGGAGAAGAAGCACCGGCUAACUACGUG
rnacentral:rRNA from 1 species